CUCAGUUCCAAGUCCUACUGCUAUAAUCAUUUUAACAGCAUGUUCUUACGGAGUGAGGACUCAAAAGAUAACAGAUUAUUCUCUGGGGUUAUUUAAAGCCUUUGGCUUAUAUCUAAAAGGGACACUGAAUUCUUAAACCUAGCAGCACUAAUAAAUUCCUAAAAAUGAAAGGAUAUUGGAGUCUACUGGAAGUGAAAUAAUGGAGUUUAUUUUGGCUGACUUCUCUGAGAGGGUGAGGUGAUUAGUACAGACAACGUACCAGAACAUGCAAGAUGUCUUGCUUUCUCCAGAGCCUGAGGAGUCAUGGGGUGAACCAGACCCCGCUAAGAAAGCCUUUACAUGAGCAAAGAGAAGAGGGAGAAGACAGAACCCAAACAUAAACUGAAUGCCCUGGUUCCCUUACGAUUUCAUCCAGGAUGGGUCUAAUACCACAUGGAGCAGAAUGCUUUUGGAAUGGUACAGCAACACUCAACAACAUGCAAUGCUGUCGAAAGGCACAAAGAAAAGUCUAGGGCAUGAAAGCCCCAGGAGUGAGUCCCACUGAGCGCCUGGCUGCUGAUGGGUAAAACACUCUUCAGUGCUCACUGCGACUGCAGGCAUCCAGUGCGCAGCAGAGACUGAGAGCAGCGCGGGGCUGUCGGGAUCUCAAGGCCCUAGGGGUAAGGUGCAGGACUAGCCCAUAGCCGAGUAGCUACACAUUCAGGAGCACCAAGCGCCCAGCUACUGCACCUAUACUGGCAAUAAAACUCUUCAUCAAUCACUCAUACAGUUUUCUGUGUGAAACAGCAUGGUAGCGUAUAUCUGACUUUAAAUAACAUAUUAUAUCCAAAAUCCACAUACCAAUUUUCACAUGUUCCUACAUGCACAUAUAUUGUCUGUUUUAAAAUAAUGUUCCUCAUUGCUAUUUUCCUCUAUAAAAUUGUGUAUAUAUACACAAUAUAUAAAAACUUUAUAACUAAAAACAAUUAUAAAAACUA